GACGAACGCUGGCGGCGUGCUUAACACGUGCAAGUCGAACGGUAAGGCCCUUCGGGGUACACGAGUGGCGAACGGGUGAGUAACACGUGGGUGAUCUGCCUUGCACUUCGGGAUAAGCCUGGGAAACUGGGUCUCAUACCGGAUAGGACUCCGGACUGCAUGGUCUGGGGUGGUAAGCUUUUGCGGUGUGGGAUGGGCCCGCGGCCUAUCAGCUUGUUGGUGGGGUGAUGGCCUACCAAGGCAACGACGGGUAGCCGGCCUGAGGGGGUGACCGGCCACACUGGGACUGGGAUACGGCCCAGACUCCUACGGGAGGCAGCAGUGUGGAAUAUUGCACAAUGGGCGCAAGCCUGAUGCAGCGACGCCGCGUGAGGGAUGACGGCCUUCGGGUUGUAAACCUCUUUCAGCAUCGACGAAGCGAAAGUGACGGUAGGUGCAGAAGAAGGACCGGCCAACUACGUGCCAGCCGCCGCCGUAA
rnacentral:rRNA from 1 species